rnacentral:rRNA from 1 species
ACUGCUCAGUAACACGUGGCUAAUCUGCCCUUGGGACCGGAACACCCCCGGGAAACUGGGGCUAAUUCUCGAUAGGUGAAGAACUCUGGAAUGAGUCUUUGCCAAAUAGAUACUUGCGUUAUGCUCGUAAGUGUCGCCCAAGGAUGAGGCCGCGACCGAUCAGGUUGUUGGUGAGGUAAUGGCUCACCAAGCCUUUUACCGGUGCGGGCCGUGAGAGCGGGAGCCCGGAGAUGGGCACUGAGACAAGGGCCCAGGCCCUACGGGGCGCAGCAGUCGCGAAAACUUUGCAAUAAGCGAAAGCUUGACAGGGCUAUCCCGAGUGCCAUCCGCUGAGGAAGGCUUUUACCCAGUCUAGAACGCUGGGGGAAUAAGGAGAGGGCAAGUCUGGUGUCAGCCGCCGCGGUAAUACCAGCUCUCCGAGUGGUGUGGAUGUUUAUUGGGCCUAAAGCAUCCGUAGCUGGCUAAGUUAGUUCCUUGUUAAAUCCACCGAAUUAAUCGUUGGAUUGCGGGGGAUACUGCUUGGCUAGGGGACGAGAGAGGCAGACGGUAUUUCCGGGGUAGGGGUGAAAUCCUAUAAUCCCGGGAAGACCACCAGUGGCGAAGGCUGUCUGCUAGAACGCGCCCGACGGUGAGGGAUGAAAGCUGGGGGAGCGAACCGGAUUAGAUACCCGGGUAGUCCCAGCUGUAAACGAUGCAGGCUAGGUGUUUGGACGGCCACGUGCCGUUCUAGUGCCGCAGGGAAGCUGUUAAGCCUGCCGCCUGGGGAGUACGAUCGCAAGAUUGAAACUUAAAGGAAUUGGCGGGGGAGCAC